AUGGUGCAGCAGAGACACAUCUAAAUGUUGCAAGAAAGCGGCCCUUGAGGACUGGAGUUUGAUACCCCUGCAGUGUAGACUAUAUUAAUUCUGGCUGAUUGUGAACUGGUUAUCAAAUGCAGAACACAAUAAAAGUAUCAUUUAUGUUUUAAGAGUGCACUGAACAUACUGUUUAUUGCAUUAGGUGACAGGCUAAAACACAUGCCGGACAAGCUCAGAGUCUGUGCUCCACAGAAAAACAAAAGCCACACAGCCAACAAAUCAGACAAACCCACACCGUCCUCUGCUCCGCUGUCUGCCGACACACUCUACCCAAUGCUGCCAUCAUAAUACUGUUAGGAAGCAAUUUACAGAUUUGUCUCCAUUCAGCCCACCCAUCAAGACACGGUACUGAUCGCAAGUCUGAUUUACAUGUUCAACUCCUAUCGUGAUGAAAGAACAAUAAGGAGCCGUCACAUUUUGGGAAUCGGUGUGAAGUUCAGAGGCAUGGGCGCCGAGACCAAACAAAGCCGUUGACUUUUCGGAAUACAGAAAGACAAAAACCUUUUUGUUCUACAGCAGCACAGAGAUGCAUGGUGCAGUUUAUCAGAGAUUUUCCCCGUGUCAUCCUCGACCCACUUCUGUCUGGCUCUCUGAACGGCCGACAGAUUGUGAUAUCCAAUAAAUCAAGAUUUACUACGGCCACGGGUGAAUAAUAAUAACAAUAAUAAUAAAAAGCAACAUAAGUCCUAAUAAUACGUGGCCGAGUCAAGUCUCUAUUCAGCUGGUCCUGGUGUGGGUUUUCCAAUUCAGCGUGUAAACAAGCUGCACUAUCUCUUGAUUAAAUCACUUCCUCAGCACAGCUUCCAGCGAGGCUCUGCAAAUGCAACUGCAUUUCACCAACUUCUGCGAAAACCUAAAGCAAGAACAGCUUUUAAAUGUCAUUUGUCCCCGUCUAAAAUUGCAACUAAUCUCAUUACUCCCCCCCCUUAAGCUUUGAACAGAUCGAAUUAAAAAGCUGCCAGUUACAGGUUAUUCCACAGGUUUAACGUCGUUUUAAUUCACAGCGCAGGUAAACAAACCUUGGGAGGCUGAACAGGGUGUCACCGAGCUGUCAUCUCCUUGGUCGUUAGGAAACUGCAGCAGAGGAGGAGUGUGCCUGUCCUGGUGUGUGUGUGCGAGUAUUAAAAGAUUACACUAAUUUCUAUGGAACACUAAUUUCUUGCAUUAUGUUGACUUCAAAAGGAGUGCUUUAAGCCUCAAACGGCUUCGGUUCGCCUCCUUGAUUGAAGUCAACUUGUCCAGGACGCCGCAGUACGAACCGAUGCUCGAACUUUGACUCGUCAUCUCCCAAAGACUCUCUGCUCUUCUACUUACUUUAGCUGGGCAGCAAAAUUCUGAACUUGUCAAGAAAAACAAACAACGUGUCUCAAAGCAUUAAACUAGCUCAAGAAGGCUAACCAUUUUAUUCGUUCUAAUAAGUAGCUUAUAGUUUAUUAUCAUGAGGUUUGUUGCUAAUUUUCCAUUAUAAGACUGCAGAAAAUAGCCUAAAUAUAUGGUAAUUGCAACGUCAAGGUGUCUUUCAAAAGCCUAAGUGAGUCUAGUUUAGCUAGCUCAAAAAGGCUAACCAGUUUUUUCAUUGUAAUCCAAGUAGCUUAUGAUUUAUCAUCAUGAGGUUUAUUGCUAAAUUUUUAUUAGAAUACAUACAAAUGGGCGUGCCAUGAGUCCUCGACGCGGCAGUCGUGGGUUCGAUUCCCGGACCCGGCGAUAUUUGCCACAUGUCUUCCCCAGUCUCCUUCCCCCUUUCCUGUCAGCCUACUUUCAUGUAAGGCCCCCUGGAGGGGAGAAAAAAAAAAGAAAAAAGAAUGCAUAUGUAACAGGUGGCACAAUUAGGUGUUGCACUCUCUCCAGCCUGUGCCUCCAUAAAAGGGAAGCUGAUGGGGUGGUGGCCAGGUGUCAAUUUCCCGUGUGUUAGACCAGCUGUGUGUUGGGCCAACGCUGUUUGCUGGCUGUGGACUGCAUUGUUGAUGGUGUUGGCUGGUAGCGUUACCUGGGCGUGGGUGUUCGACGCCGCAGGUAGGUUUUAUACAUUGGUCUUUUUAAUCCGAAUGAAUUGUGUGUUUAUAUAUUGUUUUAUUUGCUAGGGUUGCACCACAUUGGAUACACCAAGAUUUGAUUUGGAAGUGUUGAUUUAUCCAAUGCAGUUUUUGCACUGCCUCCUGCUGUCCUUUUAGCGUUUGUUUUUUUUCUUUUUUGUUAGUCCGCCCAGUUAGGAUCAUUUUUCUGCUUCUAGUACUUGUGAGGGCGGGCUAACAACUUUUUCCAUUCAUUUUGUUUGUUUUGGUUAUUUUGUGGCACUUCCCUGAAUACUUACAUCCUGUUUGGUGUGAUCCCUAUGUUGGGUUGACAACGAACGGAUAAAGCUAGCAGGGAAUCCUUCAUGUAUUCAACAAUAAAUAUCAAUAAUUAACUUAAUCCCUGUUGUUGAUUAUUACGCUUUGGCUGGUCUCAGCUAUAACACAUAAAAAUAUCAAAUAUAUAAUCAUUACAAUAUCAAGGCAUGUAAUAUCAAUGCAAAGGAUCUUCAACAUUCACAGGGUUAGGGACCUCAGAAUUCUGCUAACAGCCAAGAUCCACAAAUAACUGAAUCCCUUUAAAAUACCUACAAAUACUUAUGUUACUAAUUCAAACACCAAAUAUCCCUUAAUAUGCAUUAAUACGCAAACCGUAUUUGAAAUAUUGAAAGAGCUGACGUCUACGGUGCUCUUCUUUGCUCCCCGGGGUUACAGCCAACAAGGAACGCGACGAGUAAAUACCAAUCCUGAACCGGCGACUGUACAGACAUCACCCAAUGGCAUUUAAAUUAGCAUUGAACAUAAAUAUUUCAGCUGUCCAAGUAGCAUUUUCAAUCAAAUAGUUUUCAUAUAAUCUAUAAAAAAAAUAAAAGAGCAAAUAGGCAAAUUUUUUCAUGAGUGAGUCGGAGGGAUUCAACAGAUUUAUGUUUGCAGGCUAAAAAAUUUUAAAUCUCAGGAAUGAGCACUCUGGAUGUCAAUAAGGUAUAUUUAGUCUGAUGCAAGUCAUCUAAGGUAACAGAGAUAUAUUUGCUGCAAUUAGUUAAGAAACAAAAGGAGAACAAUAUGGAUUUAUCCCUGAUAUCAUUACAGCAGCAUUGCCAUAGCAAUAAUCUUUUUUUUUUAAAGCCAAAUUCAUCUUUUGGCAAAAAAAAGAAAAGAAAGACUUGAGUCAUUAUGGAAGGUGACAAUAUGCAGGGAGAAACUGACAGAUGAAAUACUACAUGCUGAUUGUUUCUCUAUGUUUGACAAAAGGAUAAAAAAAAAAAUUGGUUGAAUUUUUCUCUUCUCUUAACCUCUCCUUCCUCAAAAUAAAGUCCUAAUGGUGGGAAUUAAUCCAUAGAAAAUGUUCUUACUCCUGACAUCUAAGGCUCAAGCUGAUUUUUAAUCAGCUUCUAUCUCAAUUAUAAUCAACAAAUAAUGUGCAGCUUAGAAGUUUGUCUUUUAAACAGUCAUUCACGUAACAGUUUCUGUAAAUACCCAUCGUCUAUCCAAUCAUUUAUCUAAAACCUCUUAGCCUUUCUAGGUUUUCUCUGUCAAUAAACAAAAAUUAUUUAAAGAGGCUCAUUCCGCCUGCAGCCAAUGCGCCUCUGUCGUCACUUCUUUGUCCUUUUCCUCUGUGUUUUUCCCAUUUUGCUGCGUUUCGUCUUUGGAGAGGGCGUCCCUGCUUGAAGCCGUGGUCGUCGGUUUCGCCCGCAGCGCUUGUCGAGUUGAAGGCACGGGCCAGGUGGUAUGCAGUUUCGACUGCCAAUUAGAGCGGUGACCAUGUGAGAAGCGGCCCGAGAUAACUUCUAAUUACCAAUGGACCUCGGAGGCAUAACAAUUAGCUUCGCCUUUAAAUAAACCCAACAAGAGCAAACCCAUAAAGUCCGCUGCCAAAGUCCGUUUUCCUCCGUUUCAGUUUGCAAAUAUAACCCUGCAGAGAACCUUACGUGGCCUUGCUGAGCGUCUGAAGUGGUGCUCAUACGAUAUCGAGUCCCUAUUGAGUGCAUUUAUUUUCUUCCCCUGACAAGGUCACCGAGACUGCCAGCCUGUAACGAUCACAGUGAUGAAAAUAACUAGCACGGAAGACGUUUUGCAGUCAUGAAGACACUGAAGGAAAGAGCAACACACUCGGUUCAGAGUGCAGAGCCCCGUAAAAGUAUUCACACCGCAUGCGUCACAUCACAACCACAAACCACAGGGUUAUGUUUGAUGCUCCAACACAAAGUAUUUGUGAGGAAGAAAAAUUUUAACUUGUACAAAAACACGUUACAAAACCAUGCAGUUUGUGUUCUCAGCCCACUUUACUCUAACACCCCUAAAUAACAACCAGAGAACCAAUCUGUAACUGGCUUUGUGGUGACAAAUUUUGUACUUUGGACUUAUUUACCGGAAAAAUUAACUUACAAAAAUGUUUUUAUCAUCUUGAUCUUUGGUUGAAAUGUGUUCAGAGGUUCCAGAUGCAAAACCAGAUGUGUAUCAGACUUUAUCUUUUUAUGUAAGCUGUUGCUUGAGAUGGAAAGUUCUUUUAGGGAAGUGUGAAUUUGUGUACGUGACAAGCUGUACAAAAAAAGCGAUGUAUGCACAUGUUUCUUCAUUCUCGUCUUUUCUCAACAGUCUAAGCUUGUUGAACCCUUGAAUAAAAUAUCUUAAAGACAAA